rnacentral:rRNA from 1 species
UACGAAGGGGGCUAGCGUUGCUCGGAAUCACUGGGCGUAAAGCGCACGUAGGCGGAUCUUUAAGUCAGGGGUGAAAUCCCAAGGCUCAACCUUGGAACUGCCUUUGAUACUGGGGAUCUCGAGUCCGGAAGAGGUGAGUGGAACUGCGAGUGUAGAGGUGAAAUUCGUAGAUAUUCGGAAGAACACCAGUGGCGAAGGCGGCUCACUGGCCCGGUUCUGACGCUGAGGUGCGAAAGCGUGGGGAGCAAACAGG